rnacentral:rRNA from 1 species
CAACUUUCAACAAUGGAUCUCUUGGUUCUGGCAUCGAUGAAGAACGCAGCGAAAUGCGAUAAGUAGUGUGAAUUGCAGACUUUAGUGAAUCAUCGAAUCUUUGAACGCACAUUGCGCCCCUUGGUAUUCCAUUGGGCA